GACGAACGCUGGCGGCGUGCUUAACACAUGCAAGUCGAACGGAAAGGCCCUGCUUUUGUGGGGUGCUCGAGUGGCGAACGGGUGAGUAACACGUGAGUAACCUGCCCUUGACUUUGGGAUAACUUCAGGAAACUGGGGUUAAUACCGGAUAGGAGCUCCUGCUGCAUGGUGGGGGUUGGAAAGUUUCGGCGGUUGGGGAUGGACUCGCGGCUUAUCAGCUUGUUGGUGGGGUAGUGGCUUACCAAGGCUUUGACGGGUAGCCGGCCUGAGAGGGUGACCGGCCACAUUGGGACUGAGAUACGGCCCAGACUCCUACGGGAGGCAGCAGUGGGGAAUAUUGCACAAUGGGCGGAAGCCUGAUGCAGCAACGCCGCGUGCGGGAUGACGGCCUUCGGGUUGUAAACCGCUUUCGCCUGUGACGAAGCGUGAGUGACGGUAAUGGGUAAAGAAGCACCGGCUAACUACGU
rnacentral:rRNA from 1 species